rnacentral:rRNA from 1 species
CGCGUAGGCGGCCUGAUAAGUAGGGGGUGAAAUCCUGCGGCUUAACCGCAGGGCUGCCUUCUAGACUGUCAGGCUAGAGCACAGUAGAGGCAGGUGGAAUUCCCGGUGUAGCGGUGGAAUGCGUAGAGAUCGGGAAGAACAUCAGUGGCGAAGGCGGCCUGCUGGGCUGUUGCUGACGCUGAGGCGCGACAGCGUGGGGAGCAAACA